GCAAAACCAUUUCCUUCCCCUUUCAAUUCCUAUUUCUCUAAAAUAAGACUGAACACAACAGCAUGUAUAAUAUCUUAAUUUUUACUUUAAUGUUGAGAAGUGGGUUUUGUUACCAAUCUCAAGUUCAGCGUGGCGUUGAUGUGUCACUGCGAUGUGAGGUCUCUUUCCUGUCUGAAUCCUCAACAUUGCAGUGGGAGAGAGACGGACAACAAACAUCCAACACCACUCUACUGUACAACAACUCUACAACUCUGCCUACAUCAUCUUACACACCGUUGAUGAAAACAAUGAGGGGGAAUAUUACUGUAGAUUGAUGGAAAAUGGAAGAGUAAAAACUGUUAGGAAUUACUUGCUUAAUGUAAGUUCAAAUACAUUUAAUGGAAAUGAAACAAAUAAUAUAAUUUACAGACAAAGCUCUAAUAAUAGUGACGUAUCACUGAUCUGCAAGUCUUCCAGGAAGUACGAGAGCUGGAAAUGGACCUGGGAGCCGAGGCCUGAUUCACAGAUCAUUGAUCUGAUAGCAGUUGAAAAAGGAAGAGAAAUUCUAGUAAAAGGACCAAUUAAACCAGGAAGACUUUCUUCAACCACUUACAAUGAUCAACUUUUUAUCUUUCACAUCUCACCUGUGAACUUUAAUUAUAGUGGGACAUACAGGUGUAUUACAAACGAUCAUGAUAUUCCCUACACAACCACAAUGCUACACACCAUCAGAGUCUCAGUGGAGCCCCCUGAUGGUGUGUUGAGGAAUCAGUCAGUGAUUCUGACCUGUGAAGUUUCUGAAGUGACUGAUUCAGUGAUGCUGGUCUGGCUCAGGAUGGAGGGGAACAGAGGCGUGCUGGAAAAACAGCAAAUUAUGACUGAAAACAAGUUACAGCUCACAGUGAAUCUAUCCAGCUAUGAAACAGACCCGCUGCACUGACAGUGUGCAGUUUUUACUGAGAAUAAACUCAGAGCUCUGGCCCCUAUAACAAUCAGUCUUUCCUCAUCAACUACUAAUACACCAAGUACAUCAACAGAAACUCUAACAAAUAAUAUUAAUAUACAGUAUUUUUCACCUUAACUCGGAGUAAGAUUGUAUUGGUGUAUUGGUCAGUGUUGGUGUAAUUAUCUGUCUCCACAUGUUUGUGCAGAAGACAUCAUGACACAGGACAGUCAUCUACAGAUGGUGAUCAUCAUGGUGUGUGUUGUCACUGGUGGUGUGCUGAUUCUGCUGCUGGUAGUUCUAGUUUUUAAACAUCAGCGAAAAACAGAUGAAGGUCACGGCCCUGGAUUAAAAUCACAAGAAGAUGAGGACAUCCAUUAUGCUUCACUGACGGUAGCAGGAUCUAGUCAGGGAGCUGACAAACAUGCGAGUUCAAAGGUGUUGGACAGGAAUUCUACAGUCAUCUACUCAGCUAUUAAAGCACAGUGAACAUUCACACUGGAAAUUCUUGUAUAAACUUUAUUCCAUUGAUUUAUUACUAAAUGGAUAUGAAAACACCAAAUUAAUUUUGUUAAUAAUUGCUUUCUAGUCAGUGAUUAUUUUGGUAUAGCCUAUUUAAAAUUACUUAAGUCUAAUAAUGAAGCAUUUUCUAUGUUCAAGUUAUGCAUAUUGGGUAUGCUCUCUCUGUAAGCAAAGGGUCUUAGGUUUCAUUUGCAUUGGGAAAACAAAAAUCUAAAACCAACAUUAUCUCUGAGUGUCGAUCAAUAUAUUUGCAUGCCAGAUCAAAACCUCAUUGUGGUUUCAGAACACACAACUGUGUUAAAUAUAGCACAGUACUUCCUGUUGUGGAAAACUGCAGCAAAUGUUUCAACUAACCAAAAGUCAGAAUGAAAAAAUAUUGAGUUGCAAGCAAAAGAACCCUGUUGUCACAUAGGCAUUGUCUGUGUUUGGUUCUUUCAGAUUUAUUUAGUUGUGUUUUGUCUCUGUAUAUUUGGUUGCUAUGGUUUCUUAUUGAUUGAUCAGUCUUGUGACUUGUUUUACCCCUCAUUAUCUUGUGUAAUUGUGUAUUUUGUUAAUGCUGCAAAUUUAACUACAUUUCCCAUAAUGCACAGUGUUUAAAAAAAAAAAAAUGGUUUUAUGUCUGUGAAUACUGAAGUGAGAAAAAGAGCAGUCAUGCUUUGUCGUAAUUACCAGCCUGAGCUAUUAUAUUCUUAAAAUAAUAAUAAUAAUAAUAUAAUUAUAUUCCUC